UCUGUAGAGCAGAACAAUUUUUAUCUGAUAAGACCAGCUUAUGUAUGGCUGCUCGUGGAGUUGUCUCAUAGCAGAGCAUUGUGGCUUUCAAUUGCUCCCCAAUUUUUUGAUGGAGGUCUGCUUGUGGUGGAUGAUGGCGGUUUCAUUGCGACAAGAGCCAAUUUGAUCUGCUGUGGGUUUCAACGUGGAAUUCUAAGGGUUAAUUCCGCCUGUCAAUCACGAGCAAGUUAUGGAAUUUGUACUCUCUUUCUCAAUGCUUAUACGUUUUCGUCUAUUACGUUUGACGUUUGUGUGUGUUAAUGAUAACACGUUUUUCUUUUCGCCCUACGUGAUCACCUAGAAGAAUUACAUUAAACAUACUCUAGUAUCUCUCCAGCUUAAUUUGACAAUAAACUCUAACGUUGCUUAACAUGAGAAAUACAAGAAUAAAACAAUUGUA